rnacentral:rRNA from 1 species
GGCUCAGGACGAACGCUGGCGGCGUGCUUAACACAUGCAAGUCGAACGGAGGCUUUCCUUCGGGGGGAAGCCUUAGUGGCGGACGGGUGAGUAACGCGUGAGCAAUCUGCCUUGCACAGGGGGAUAACAACUGGAAACGGUUGCUAAUACCGCAUAACGUAACGGGGAGGCAUCUUUCUGUUACCAAAGGAGCAAUCCGGUGCAAGAUGAGCUCGCGUCCGAUUAGAUAGUUGGCGGGGCAACGGCCCACCAAGUCAACGAUCGGUAGCCGGACUGAGAGGUUGACCGGCCACAUUGGGACUGAGACACGGCCCAGACUCCUACGGGAGGCAGCAGUGGGGAAUAUUGGGCAAUGGGCCGAAAGCCUGACCCAGCAACGCCGCGUGAAGGAUGAAGGUUUUCGGAUUGUAAACUUCUUUGACUGAGGACGACAAAAGGACGGUACUCAGAAAACAAGCCACGGCUAACUACGUGCCAGCCGCCGC